rnacentral:sRNA from 1 species
GGAAAACAAGAGGAAAUCCAACAGAAAGGACAGGCUGAGAAAAAAGAAUUACAACAUAAAAUAGAUGAAAUGGAAGAAAAAGAACAGGAGCUCCAGGCAAAAAUAGAAGCUUUGCAAGCUGAUAAUGAUUUCACCAAUGAAAGGCUAACAGCUUUACAAGGGAUACAAGUUGAUGACUUCUUACCUAAAAUAAAUGGGAGCACAGAAAAAGAGAAGCUGAUCGUUGAAGGGCAUCUAACCAAAGCGGUAGAAGAAACAAAGCUUUCAAAAGAAAAUCAGACAAGAGCAAAAGAAUCUGAUUUUUCAGAUACUCUGAGUCCAAGCAAGGAAAAAAGCAGUGACGACACUACA